rnacentral:sRNA from 1 species
CAAAGACCCUUUAAACUUGAAAAACUCAGAAAGUGGCCAAGAAAUUUAAAAGCAAUCUUCAAAGUUCUCUACUUUACAAAAAAAUGUGAAAAAGUAGCUUUUAAAGAAAAACAGAAAAAAAUGUUUUUUCAUUGACAAGUAACAUAAGACAAUGGAACCUGUUAUUUCUCCGACAUCCAUUAUUGGACGAAGUUAAAACUUUCUAAAGUACAGCAAUUGUACCUAACAAAACAGGUCUACUUCACUGAUUCGUUUGAUCAACAUUUUCUGUGAAAACAGAAUGAAUAAGAAAUAGUCAAGAGAAGUAACUAUAUCUGAAAUUUAUGUACAUGUUUGACUCCUUCUAAGGAAUACUUUUUAAGCAAUUAUUAAAGAAUGAAAGCCCUUGUGUAAGACAGAC